GACGAACCGUCCAAACGUUAUUCGGAAUCACUGGGCUUAAAGGGUGCGUAGGCGGCCCUGUAAGUUGGGUGUGAAAUCCCUCGGCUCAACCGAGGAACUGCGCCCAAAACUACAGGGCUUGAGGAAGACAGAGGUGAGUGGAACUUGCGGUGGAGCGGUGAAAUGCGUUGAUAUCGCAAGGAACACCAGUGGCGAAAGCGACUCACUGGGUCUUUUCUGACGCUGAGGUGCGAAAGCGUGGGGAGCAAACAGG
rnacentral:rRNA from 1 species